rnacentral:rRNA from 1 species
CCUACGGGAGGCAGCAGUGGGGAAUUUUCCGCAAUGGGCGAAAGCCUGACGGAGCAAUACCGCGUGAGGGAAGAAGGCUCUUGGGUUGUAAACCUCUUUUCUCAGGGAAUAAAAAAAUGAAGGUACCUGAGGAAUAAGCAUCGGCUAACUCCGUGCCAGCAGCCGCGGUAAUACGGAGGAUGCAAGCGUUAUCCGGAAUGAUUGGGCGUAAAGCGUCCGCAGGUGGUACAACAAGUCUAGUGUCAAAGACCGGGGCUCAACCCCGGGAAGGCGGUGGAAACUGUUGAACUAGAGGGUCGUAGGGGUAGAGGGGAAUUCCCAGUGUAGCGGUGAAAUGCGUAGAGAUUGGGGAAGAACAUCGGUGGCGAAGGCGCUCUACUGGACGGCAACUGACACUCAGGGACGAAA